rnacentral:rRNA from 1 species
GACGAACGCUGGCGGCGUGCUUAACACAUGCCAGUCGAACGGAAAGGCCCUGCUUUUGUGGGGUGCUCGAGUGGCGAACGGGUGAGUAACACGUGAGUAACCUGCCCUUGACUUUGGGAUAACUUCAGGAAACUGGGGCUAAUACAGGAUAGGAGAUCCUGCUGCAUGGAGGGGGUUGGAAAGUCUCGGCGGUUGGGGAUGGACUCGCGGCUUAUCAGCUUGUUGGUGGGGUAGUGGCUUACCAAGGAUUUGACGGGUAGCCGGCCUGAGAGGGUGACCGGCGACAAUGGGACUGAGAUACGGCCCAGACUGCUACGGGAGGCAGCAGUGGGGAAUCUUGCACAAUGGGCGGAAGUCUGAUGCAGCAACGCCGCGUGCGGGAUGACGGCCUUCUGGUUGUAAACCGCUGUCGCCUGUGACGAAGCGUGAGUGACGGUAAUGGGUAAAGAAGCACCGGCUAACUACGUG